AUUCAGAAACCAUAAGGAUUGGAAAUGUCACCUGAUAUUGUGCAGUCCAAACCUUCCCUAAAACUUAAGAGGACUGAGUACAGACCCUCGCCCUUCGCCAACACAAAGAAUAUAGAAAGAAUCCAGACGUUACCAUGCACUGCUGAUGUGAGCUCUCCUUUUGUUUCUGUGUCUCUGAUGGAGCUAAAGGUGUGGGUGGAUGGAGUGGUACGAGUGGUUUGUGGCUUAUCAGAGGAGACAUCUUGCCAGGACGUGGUCAUUGCACUUGCCCAAGCCAUUGGCCAAACGGGUCGUUACGUUCUCAUUCAAAGGCUGAGGGACACUGAGCACCAACUUCUGGCCAAUGAGCGUCCACUGGAGUCCCUAGCCAAACUUGGCCAGCACAGCAAUGAGGUGCAAUUCUUCCUGCGGCGGACGGGCCCGAGCAGCAGUGAAGAAAAAAAUCUGCACAACCACACCCUCCCACUCAAGCCCUCUACACCUGAACCCAAACGAGGAUUACCUAAAAGGUCCUUAACCUUCAACCUAGGCCCUUCCAGUUCUCCUCAUACGAAAUCUAAGGACUCUCGCAAAACACCCUCUCCUGAGCAAAGGGCAUCCCCAAUUCCUCACGGCACAUACCUGCCCGGGCCGUCCAAAGAGGAGCUGUUCCGGCAUGUUCUCCAGCAGCAGGAGCAGCUACGUGCCUUGGAGUCCCAGCUGGUGACCCUAGGGAGGGAAUGCAAGACUUGGGAACAGUUGCCUACUAACGAGUCAUCUCUGCAUGCAGAAAUAGAUGUUCUGGAGAAGGCACUAUGGAAGAACCAGCAAGAGCUGGUGAAUGAGGAGUUCUGGGAGGAGGAGCUAAGGGUGGAGACCGAGCGGGAGUGGGGGAUGAAGCAAAGGUUAGGAGAGCUGCACACUAAACUAGAUGAUUGUGGACAAAAGAUGCACGAAUUCAACACUCGUGCUAUGCAACUUGAGAAGAACCUUCAGAAGGAAAGGCUGGAGGUGAAAGUAUCGCCCAGCCAAGCUGAUUCAAAAGACUCAUUGUGGGUAGUCAAGGCUGAGCUUCAGAGUAGACAAAUGCACAGGGAGGAGUUGGAGGUGGAACUUAUAGAACUCGAGAAGGCUCUGGGGAGGGCGGAGACUCUGCUGAAGGCUAAGCAGGAGGAGGUGGAAGAGUUGAAUAAGGAGCUGAGGCAGUGUAAUUUGCAGCAGUUUAUCCAGCAGGCUGGAGCCCUGCCGACACACAGUCAAUGUUGUACAGACCUCAGUGAACAUUCAGAACAACUGGAUCUGAUUCAACAACUGCUGGACAAAAACAGAGACAAUGACUUGCCCCUACCUCCCACCGCCAAGCAGUUCCUGGGUCACCCACGCAAACUGCAGCACCCCCUGGUGUCCAGCCUGAACCCUGAGGGUGUGUAUGUGUGACAGCUGCUGUCGCAGACGCCUGCUGCUUUCCUGCCCUGCCCUGCUCCGCAACCCCAGCCUGCCAUGCCCAGUGGUGGCAGCCCUUUCUGCGUGAAGUCCUGACAUCCAGGGAUUCGUCUUGCCAGUAAAAACCUGCAGCACAGGGCUGAGGAUUUGUAAUGACUUUCUUCUGUAUUAUUCAAAACCUUUGUCUUAAUUAACUGUCAUCAAUACUGUAUAUAUGAAUUAUAUGUUUACUACUUUUUGGUAUAUUUCAAACCAUGUACUUACUGUAAAAUAUUACCAUAAGAUUUUAUCUCAAGAACUUUUACUAUUGUCUGAGUAUUUAAGUACAAUAAAGACUUGUGUCUUUGAUCA